ACAAACAUUUUUAAUUUGCUUUUUUACCGAGUCAUAAAUUGUUUUCAAAUAAUUUGUACAUAGACACUUUUGUGCAAAGCGUGCAGGCUAGUAUAUUUUUUAAAAGCACACCAUUUGGUAUUUCAAUGCUGCCAGAAGGUCGGUCACACUGUCAGUCUCGUUCGAAAACUCGACAAACGAAGUUGCAAGUCGCUGUAGACGCGCCGUCGCAUGUAAAGUGCAUUUAAACAAUUGCAGUGGAAUUUCGCGUACAAAACCUAAGGCGUGUAUAUGCAAUUGUGUUUCGAUACAAAAACAAAAAAAUAAAACAACAACCCAAAACAAAUAUACACACUUAAAAAAAGAAAUUAAAAUUAAAAUUUUCGGUUAAUAUACAUAUAUAUAUACACAAAUAUAUAUAUAGACUUUAAUAAAAUCCACUGGCUGCAGGGCGAGCGCAGGCCAAGCCGAAACAUCGCUUUGGAUAUCUUCAACGGAAUCAAAGAGCAACUUUCAAGUUGCCCC